AUUGAACGCUGGCGGAAUGCUUUACACAUGCAAGUCGAACGGUAGAGGGGCAACCCUUGAGAGUGGCGAACGGGUGAGUAAUAUAUCGGAACGUGCCCAGUCGUGGGGAUAACGUAGCGAAAGUUACGCUAAUACCGCAUACGAUCUAAGGAUGAAAGCGGGGGACCGUAAGGCCUCGCGCGAUUGGAGCGGCCGAUAUCAGAUUAGGUAGUUGGUGGGGUAAAGGCUCACCAAGCCAACGAUCUGUAGCUGGUCUGAGAGGACGACCAGCCACACUGGAACUGAGACACGGUCCAGACUCCUACGGGAGGCAGCAGUGGGGAAUUUUGGACAAUGGACGCAAGUCUGAUCCAGCCAUUCCGCGUGCAGGAUGAAGGCCCUCGGGUUGUAAACUGCUUUUGUACGGAACGAAAAGGUUUGUCUUAAUACGAUGAGCUCAUGACGGUACCGUAAGAAUAAGCACCGGCUAACUACGUG
rnacentral:rRNA from 1 species